GGCAGUGAGGAUGUGGGGGGCAAUGGGGGACAGUGGGGGCAAUGGGGAUGUGGGGGGCAAUGGGGAUGUGGGGGGCGAUGGGGACUUUGGGGUCCACCCUCAGCCCAUCCCCAUAGCGCUGGCACUGCCCUAUGGCGGUGCCCCAUAGGACACCUACCAGCCGCAGCUCCUCACCCUGCCCCACACCUCACCCCACACAUUGCUUUGCCCCACAGCUCACCUACAGCUGAAGGUCCUCACCCCAUAUUGACCCCACACUGACCCCAUAUCUCCCCCCCAUAUCACCCCCAUUAAUCCUCUACAGGAGACAUACCAGCUGAAGAUCCUCACCCCACUCUGACCCCAUAUUGACCCCAUAUACUGACCCACACUGACCCCAUAUCCCCCCCCUACAGGUGACGUACCAGCUGAAGAUCCUGACCCCACACUGACCCCACACACUGACCCUAUAUCCCCUAUAUGUCCCCCAUAUAGGUGACGUACCAGCUGAAGAUCCUGACCCCACCCUGACCCCACACACUGACCCUAUAUCCCCUAUAUGUCUCCCAUAUAGGUGACGUACCAGCUGAAGAUCCUGACCCCACCCUGACCCCAUACACUGACCCUAUAUUUCCCUUAUGCAGGUGACGUACCAGCUGAAGACCCUGACCCCACACUGACCCCACACUGACCCUAUAUCCCCUAUAUGUCUCCUAUGCAGGUGACAUACCAGCUGAAGAUCCUGACCCCACCCUGACCCCACACACUGACCCUAUGUAUCUCCCCCCAUAUAGGUGACGUACCAGCUGAAGAUCCUGACCCCACACACUGACCCCAUAUCCCCUAUCUCCCCCCAUAUAGGUGACGUACCAGCUGAAGAUCCUGACCCCACAGUGACCCCACACUGACCCCACACUAUCCCCUAUAUCUCCCCCCCAUAUAGGUGACGUACCAGCUGAAGAUCCUGACCCCACACACUGACCCUAUGUAUCUCCCCCCUAUAGAUGACGUACCAGCUGAAGACCCUGACUCCACACACUGACCCUAUAUCCCCUAUAUCUCCCCCCCUACAGGUGACGUACCAGCUGAAGAUCCUGACCCCACACACUGACCCUAUAUCCCCUAUAUCUCCCCUCAUAUAGGUGAUGUACCAGCUGAAGAUCCUGACCCCAC